CCUACGGGAGGCAGCAGUGGGGAAUAUUGCACAAUGGGGGAAACCCUGAUGCAGCGACGCCGCGUGAGUGAAGAAGUAUUUCGGUAUGUAAAGCUCUAUCAGCAGGGAAGAAAAUGACGGUACCUGAUUAAGAAGCCCCGGCUAACUACGUGCCAGCAGCCGCGGUAAUACGUAGGGGGCAAGCGUUAUCCGGAUUUACUGGGUGUAAAGGGAGCGGAGACGGCAGCACAAGUCUGGAGUGAAAUGCCGGGGCUUAACCCCGGAACUGCUUUGGAAACUGUGCAGCUAGAGUGCAGGAGAGGUAAGUGGAAUGCCUAGUGUAGCGGGGGAAUGCGUAGAUAGUAGGAGGAACACCAGUGGCGAAGGCGGCUUACUGGACUGUAACUGACGUUGAGGCUCGAAAGCGUGGGGAGCAAACAGGAUUAGAUACCCGGGUAGUC
rnacentral:rRNA from 1 species